CAAUAGCGUAUAUUUAAGUUGUUGCAGUUAAAAAGCUCGUAGUUGGAUUUCGGGUGGGACGCAGCGGUCUCGCAUUGCGUUUGUACUGCUGCAGCCCUCCUUCUUGCCGGGGGCGGCCUCUCGGACUUCACUGGCUGGGGGUCAGAAUCGGCGAUGUUACUUUGAGUAAAUUAGAGUGUUCAAAGCAAGCUUACGCUCUGAAUAUAAUAGCAUGGGAUAACACGACAGGACUCUGGCCUAUCGUGUUGGUCUAUAGGACCAGAGUAAUGAUUAAGAGGGACAGUCGGGGGCAUUCGUAUUCCGUUGUCAGAGGUGAAAUUCUUGGAUUUACGGAAGACGAACAUCUGCGAAAGCAUUUGCCAAGGAUGUUUNCAUUGA
rnacentral:rRNA from 1 species